GCGUACCACUUGUACGCCCCGGCUUCGAGCGCACCGUCUGCGCCGAUCUGCCGACUGCUCGCGACGAUAUACGGGCC
rnacentral:sRNA from 2 species